rnacentral:lncRNA from 1 species
UGGCCUAAUGCGUAAUUUGCACUGCUCUUGCCAGCAUAUCUGGUCAAUAACCUAACAUGAAACCACUCUUCAGAAGCGUCGCCAUCGCUGAUUUGACGCUGACUGCAUCGGAGAUUAUGUGUUCGAGCUGUGAGUACCACCUGCUGUGUAAGUCUUACAUAAGUUACGUUAGAUACAGUUGCAGUUACUGCAAACUUCUACUUAUGGGAGUAGAAUAUAAUAAGCUUUAUAUGAUAGGCUGAGAUGGAUAAGGGUAUACAUCAUUGCUGACAUCUUUCUAGAACCUCUAAGAUUGCAAUGUGUGAUUUCUUGUUGGAUCAGCUACGUCCAUAGAAUGAACUCGUUCCUUAAGAAAAUAAAGAAACUCAUCAGCAAUAACAGCUUCUU